AUUGAACGCUGGCGGCAGGCCUAACACAUGCAAGUCGAACGAGUGGCGGACGGGUGAGUAAUGUCUGGGAAACUGCCCGAUGGAGGGGGAUAACUACUGGAAACGGUAGCUAAUACCGCAUACCAUCGGAUGUGCCCAGAUGGGAUUAGCUUGUAGGUGAGGUAACGGCUCACCUAGGCGACGAUCCCUAGCUGGUCUGAGAGGAUGACCAGGCACUAGGGAACUGAGAGACGGUCCAGAGGCCUAGGGGAGGCAGCAGGGGGGAAUAUUGCAUAAGGGGGUCAAGCUGUAUGCAGCCAUGCCGCGUGUAUGAAGAAGGCCUUCGGGUUGUAAAGUACGUUCAGCGGGGAGGCGUGACCCGCAGAAGAAGCACCGGCUAACUCCGUGCCAGCAGCCGCGGUAAUAC
rnacentral:rRNA from 1 species